AUGAAGAAAAAGGUAUUACUGAUGGGUAAGAGUGGGUCUGGGAAAACAAGUAUGCGCAGCAUUAUUUUCGCCAAUUAUAUAGCGCGUGAUACACAUCGUCUAGGAGCAACGAUUGACGUAGAACAUUCCCAUGUUCGUUUUCUUGGCAAUUUAGUUUUGAAUUUAUGGGAUUGCGGAGGACAAGAGGCAUUCAUGGAGAAUUAUUUCGCGUCACAGCGUGAUAAUAUAUUUAGAAAUGUAGAAGUGUUAAUUUAUGUCUUUGAUGUAGAAUCAAGAGAAUUAGAUAAAGACAUGCAUUAUUAUCAAAGUUGUUUAGAGGCGAUACUGCAGAAUAGCCCAGAAGCAAAAAUUUUUUGCUUAGUUCAUAAGAUGGAUCUUGUGCAAGAGGAUCAACGUGAUUACAUAUUCAGAGAAAGAGAAGAAGAUCUGAAAAGGCUAAGUUUACCUUUAGAAUGCACAUGCUUCAGAACUAGCAUAUGGGAUGAAACGUUAUAUAGAGCAUGGUCAUCCAUUGUAUACAUGUUGAUACCCAACGUUAAGGAAUUGGAACAAAGUUUGAACCAAUUUGCCAAUAUUAUUGAUGCAGAUGAAGUUCUCUUGUUUGAAAGAGCAACUUUCCUAGUCAUAAGUCAUUGUCAGCGACAAUUUCAUAGAGAUGUUCAUCGCUUUGAAAAAGUCUCUAAUAUAAUAAAACAAUUCAAAUUAAGUUGCAGCAAGUUGGCGGCACAAUUCCAAAGUAUGGAAGUUAGAAAUACCAAUUUUGCGGCCUUCAUCGAUAUAUUUACUUCAAACACAUAUGUAAUGGUCAUCAUGUCCGAUCCAACUAUACCAUCAGCAGCAACAUUGAUCAAUAUACGCAAUGCACGAAAGCAUUUUGAAAAGUUGGAACGUGCCAGCCAGAGCUCGGCAUUGACUAGAUAGAAGUCGGCACGACCCAGGCGCCUCGUCACCCGGGUCCAUCCUAUUAAUAAUUGCUGAAUCUGCAGAAUCGUAUCAUUAAGAUAAUAAAACGUGAUUGCGAAGAUACGAUUGUUCAUGAGAGAUUGAGUCACAAAGUAUACUUCAAUGUCAUAUUAGGACUGUAUCGAUAUGAAUUCAUCUCUCAUAUUAUGCAUGGAUGUAACAUGAUGCAUAAUGCAUCUGCAAUUUGUCAAUGUAGAAUAGUGUACAUACGCGCGAUUCUUUUGCCUCGUUCUAAAUCAUUUUUCAUUUUUGAUUUGAGAAUCGUUCGUCAUCCAAAUAGCGUUGUAAUAACAUCCAACGAAUGUUAAUAAUAAAUAAUCAUCGCAGCCAUAUGUCUUUCUUUUAUAUCCGCAUGAGUCACAAUGCGAUAUAACAAUAUAAGAUGAAGUAUCCACUUGAAAACGUUCAUUCUCAAAAGUGAUUCAUGACAUAAGAAUUUCCGAUGAAAUUAACCGCCUUUGUGUUCAAUUAUGUACUACUACAAUCUAUCUGUAACUACUGAGGAUUGCUUUUAAAUAUAAUAGAAAUUUUCAAGUAGCUAUAUAGCCUAUGUUGCAUCAAAAUAUCGUCCUGUACUUGUAAAAUCAAUAGUUAAUUUCAAUUUUGUAGAAGAUAGUUAUAUGUAAUAUAUAUGUUUACAUCCUUAAAUGAUACAAGAUGUACGAUGAUACGAAAUAUAACAAAAUUACAAUGUAUUUUUUAAAUGUGCAAAUAAAUUGUAACCACAA
rnacentral:misc_RNA from 1 species